AACGAACGCUGGCGGCAUGCCUAACACAUGCAAGUCGAACGAGACCUUCGGGUCUAGUGGCGCACGGGUGCGUAACGCGUGGGAACCUGCCCUUAGGUUCGGAAUAACUCCCCGAAAGGGGUGCUAAUACCGGAUAAUGUCUUCGGACCAAAGAUUUAUCGCCUUUGGAUGGGCCCGCGUUGGAUUAGCUAGUUGGUAGGGUAAAAGCCUACCAAGGCGACGAUCCAUAGCUGGUCUGAGAGGAUGAUCAGCCACACUGGGACUGAGACACGACCCAGACUCCUACGGGAGGCAGCAGUGGGGAAUAUUGGACAAUGGGCGAAAGCCUGAUCCAGCAAUGCCGCGUGAGUGAUGAAGGCCUUAGGGUUGUAAAGCUCUUUUACCCGGGAUGAUAAUGACAGUACCGGGAGAAUAGGCUCCGGCUAACUCCGUG
rnacentral:rRNA from 1 species